AUGGCUAAAUAUUGGUGGAGCAGCUCUCUGGAUAAAAUGACUUUGCACUGGAUUUCCUGGAAGGUGCUUGCAUCUCAAAAACUCAAAGGUGGAAUGGGAUUUCGUGACAUGGAACUCUUCAACCUAGCGCUUCUCGGUAAGCAUGGUUGGAGGUUCAUGGUCAAUCCUAAUUCUUUGUGUGGUCGUGGCAUGAAGGGCUGGUACUUCCCGAAUUCAAAUUUCUUGCAAGCUACACUACCGCAGUCUGCCUCUCUUAUUUGGUGAGCGAUUGUGGCCAGACGGGAGGCUCUUCACGCGGGCAUGAUCAUGCGUAUUGGUGAUGGUUGUACCAUCUCGAUUUGGGAUGACAAGUGGAUCCCAGGUACCAUCCGUAUGUGUCCUAUGUCUAGACCUACUAAUGUUUCUCUACAACCGUGA
rnacentral:rRNA from 1 species